rnacentral:rRNA from 1 species
GCAUAUCAAUAAGCGGAGGAAAAAGAAAACCAACAGGGGAUUGCCCUAGUAACGGCGAGUGAAGCGGCAACAGCUCAAAUUUGAAAUCUGGCUCUCUUUGGGGGGUCCGAGUUGUAAUUUGCAGAGGGUGCUUUGGCGUAGGCGGCGGUCUAAGUUCCUUGGAACAGGGCAUCGCAGAGGGUGAGAAUCCCGUAUGUGGUCGCCUGCCUUCGCCGUGUAAAGCCCCUUCGACGAGUCGAGUUGUUUGGGAAUGCAGCUCUAAAUGGGAGGUAAAUUUCUUCUAAAGCUAAAUAUAAGCCAGAGACCGAUAGCGCACAAGUAGAGUGAUCGAAAGAUGAAAAGCACUUUGGAAAGAGAGUCAAACAGCACGUGAAAUUGUUGAAAGGGAAGCGCUUGCAGCCAGACUUGCCCGCAGUUGCUCACCUAGGCUUUUGCCUGGGGCAUUCUUCUGCGGGCAGGCCAGCAUCAGUUUCGGCGGUCGGAUAAAGGUCUCUCUCACGUACCUGCCUACGGGUAGCCUUAUAGGGGAGACGACAUGCGACCAGCUGGGACUGAGGUCCGCGCUUCGGCUAGGAUGCUGGCGUAAUGGCUGUAAGCGGCCCGUCUUGAAACACGGACCAAGGAGUCUAACAUCUAUGCGAGUGUUUGGGUGUCAAGCCCGAGCGCGCAAUGAAAGUGAACGGAGGUGGGAACCUUAGGGUGCACCAUCGACCGAUCCUGAAGUCUUCGGAUGGAUUUGAGUAAGAGCAUAGCUGUUGGGACCCGAAAGAUGGUGAACUAUGCUUGAAUAGGGUGAAGCCAGAGGAAACUCUGGUGGAGGCUCGCAGCGGUUCUGACGUGCAAAUCGAUCGUCAAAUUUGGGCAUAGGGGCGAAAGACUAAUCGAACUAUCUAGUAGCUGGUUCUGCCGAAG